GGAAGCGAUCAUACCAGCACUAAAGCACCGGAUCCCAUCAGAACUCUGAAGUUAAGCGUACUAGGAUGGGUGACCUCCUGGGAAGUCCUCGUGUUGAAUUCC
rnacentral:rRNA from 2 species